rnacentral:lncRNA from 1 species
AAGAAAAUUUUUAUGUAGAUCAAGAUGAUAUGCUAAAUAAUGAUUUUUGCAGGGAAGAGAACCAGAAAGAGCCAGAACUGAAAGACACUAACUGUUGCAUCCAACAGGUGGACUGUGAACACGCACAGAACAAAGGAGAGCCUAUCACACCUCUUCAAAUCAAUCUUGCGCAGUCAGAAGGAACUCCAACUGAACCACCUCAGCUUGGACCGCAGGACAGUCCUGCAACUCUUCUAGUUGCACCUCUUCAGCUUCCAUCGCAUGAAACUCCUUUCAUUCUUCCAUUCCAGAUCAAUCUUGCGCAAGAAGGAGUACCUGAAAUCCUCUCAGGCGCGUCCUUUUAGCUUCCCACACAAAUCAGUCUUCCACCUCAGUUAGGUCCUAUGCAGAAGGAGGAAACUGAAACUCCUUUCAUCCUUCCAAUGCAAACAGUCCAUGCCCAGGAGGGACAAAUGGUAGUCCAAUGGCCCAAACCAAAGGAGCAUGCAGAUCAAUGCCUUCCAAAACCUCC